GGUUUCGUAGUGUAGUGGUUAGCACUCCAGACUUUGAAUCUGGCGACCUGGGUUCAAAUCUCAGCGAGACCU
rnacentral:tRNA from 3 species